rnacentral:rRNA from 1 species
GACGAACGCUGGCGGCGUGCUUAACACAUGCAAGUCGAACGGAAAGGCCUGCUUUCCCUUGUGGAUUGCGGGUACUCGAGUGGCGAACGGGUGAGUAACACGUGAGUGAUCUGCCCCCAACUUGGGUAUAAGCCUGGGAAACUGUGUCUAAUUCCCGAUAGGACUGCAGGGUGGUGCCUGUGGUGGGAAACGAUUUUCUAGUGGUUGGGGAUGAGCUCGCGGCCUAUCAGCUUGUUGGUGGGGUAAUGGCCUACCAAGGCGGCGACGGGUAGCCGGCCUGAGAGGGUGGACGGCCACAUUGGGACUGAGAUACGGCCCAGACUCCUACGGGAGGCAGCAGUGGGGAAUAUUGCACAAUGGGCGGAAGCCUGAUGCAGCGACGCCGCGUGGGGGAUGACGGCCUUCGGGUUGUAAACUCCUUUCGACCGCGAGGAAGCCACCUGGUUGGAAGGGUGGUGACGGUAGUGGUAGAAGAAGCACCGGCUAACUACGUG